rnacentral:rRNA from 1 species
AAUGAACGCUGGCGGCGUGCUUAACACAUGCAAGUCGAACGAGAAACCCCGGCUUGCCGGGGGAGUAAAGUGGCGCACGGGUGAGUAACGCGUGGGUAAUCUACCCUCGAGUUGGGGAUAACGCCGCGAAAGCGGGGCUGAUAGCGCAGAAGACCACGGUGGGCUUUGCCACUGAGGUCAAAGAUGUCCUCUAGCUUCAAGCUGUGGUUCUGGGAUGAGCUCUGGUCGCAUUAGCUAGUUGGUGGGGUAAAAGCCUACCAAGGCGACGGUGGGUAGCUGGUCCGAGAGGAUGGCCAGCCACACUGGAACUGGAACACGGUCCAGACUCCUACGGGAGGCAGCAGUGAGGAAUUUUGCGCAAUGGGGGAAACCCUGACGCAGCAACGCCGCGUGAGUGAUGAAGGCCUUCGGGUUGUAAAGCUCUGUCGAGUGGGAAGAAUUUUUUUCGGCUGAAUAAUCCGAAAAAUUGACGGUACCGCUGAAGGAAGCACCGGCUAACUCCGUGCCAGCAGCCGCGGUAAUAC